rnacentral:snRNA from 1 species
UUACUCUGGUUUUCUCUUCCUGCUUGUACAAGUCUUUCGCCUUUUACUAAAGACUUCCGUGGAGAGUGACUCCAACGAGUUUAGCCUAUUUUUGGCAGGCUUUGCUCUCUGGCAGAGCCG